rnacentral:rRNA from 1 species
CAAUAGCGAAUACUAAUUUUGCUGCAGUUAAAAAGCUCGUAGUUGAAUUUCUGGUAAGGUAGACCUGGCCAUUGGGCGAAUGCUCUUUGUUUGCUGUGAGUCAUACCUGGCCAUCCUCCGCAGAAAAUUUCUGUGGUCUUUCACUGUAAAAAAUUAGGGUGUUUCAAGCAAAUGUAAUUUGGAAUAUAUUAGUAUGGGAUGAUAAGAUAGGCUCUGGAUGCUAUUUUGUUGGUUUGCACAUUUAGAGAAUGAUUAACAGGGACAGUUGGGGGUAUUCAUAUUUACAUGUCAGAGGUGAAAUUCUUGGAUUUUGGAAAGAUGAACUACUGCGAAGGCAUUUACCAAAGAUGUUUUCAUUAAUCAAGAACGAAAGUUAGGGGAUCGAAGACGAUUAGAUACCGU